CCCUUAGAUGUCCUGGGCUGCACGCGCGCUACACUGAUGUGUCCAGUAAGCACCUAACCUCUUCCGAAAGGAACGGGUAACCUUUGCAAAGCACAUCGUGAUGGGGAUAGACUAUUGCAAUUAUUGGUCUUCAACGAGGAAUUCCUAGUAGACGUAGUUCAUCAGACUGCAUCGAUUACGUCCCUGCCCUUUGUACACACCGCCCGUCGCUCCUACCGAUUGAAUGCUCAGGUGAGCCAUUCGGACUUUCAUCAUGCUGGUUUCCAGUUUUGAUGAAGGAAAGUCUUGCGAACCUUAUCAUUUAGAGGAAGGAGAAGUCGUAACA
rnacentral:rRNA from 1 species